ensembl:snoRNA
UACAGUGAGACCCUCUCUUAAAACAAACCCCUCCUGCUGGUGUGUUCAAAGGACAGUGUAAUAGAAAUUCACUGUCUGGCAUCGUUGGUUUUCUUGGCUUUGGUGCCUUUUAAACCUGGUAUUUCUAUUGAUAAGGUU